GGAACUAUGGCUCAGUUGGUAGAGCAUGGCGCUUGUAACGGCAGGAUUGUGGGUUUGAGUCCCAUGGACUCCU
rnacentral:tRNA from 1 species